AGGUGCGAUCAUACCAGCACUAAUGCAAUGGAUCUCAUCAGAACUCCACAGUUAAGCGUAUUUGGGCGAGAGUAGUACUAAGUUGUGUGACCACUUGGGAAGUCCUCGUAUUGCACCCC